rnacentral:rRNA from 1 species
UUAAGCAUUGAUAAGGCUCAUGGUGAAUGCCUUGGUAUGGGCAGGCGACGAAGGGCGUGAUAAGCUGCGAUAAGCUACGGGAAGCUGCAAAUAAGCGUUGAUCCGUAGAUUUCCGAAUGGGGAAACCUGGCAGGCAACGCCUGUCACUUGCUACUCAAUACAUAGGUAGUAAGAGCUAACCCGGCCAACUGAAAUAUCUCAGUAGCCGGAGGAACAAAGACCAAUUGGGAUUCCCUCAGUAGUGACGAGCGAAGGGGGACAAGCCUAAACUGACGUGGUUUCGGCUGCGUCAGGGUUGUAGGGCCCGCACCGAAACCUACGCGUCGAAGUCGAAACUGACUGGAAAGCAGUACCAAAGAGGGUGAAAGUCCCGUAGGCGUAAGACAACUAGGUUUCGCGGGAGCCCCUGAGUACCACGGGACCGGAGAAAUCCUGUGGGAAGCGGCCAGCACCAUCUGGCAAGGCUAAAUACUCGCCCAUGACCGAUAGUGGACCAGUACCGUAAGGGAAAGGUGAAAAGAACGCCUAAUCGGCGAGCGAAAAGCACCUGAAACCAUGAGCUGACAACCAGUCGGAGCACGGACCCUUUGGGUCGGUGUGACGGCGUGCCUUUUGCUUAAUGAGCCUACGAGUUGCUCCUCACUGGCCAGGCUAAGGCCUUCAGGGCCGUACCCGCAGCGAAAGCAAGUCCGAAUAGGGCGUCGAGUCAGUGGGGGCAGACGCGAAACCGAGUGAGCUACCCAUUACUAGGUUGAAGCGCGGGUAAGACCGCGUGGAAGACCGAACCGACCAGUGUUGCAAAACUGCCGGAUAAGUUGUGGGUAGGGGUGAAAGGCCAAUCAAACUCGGAAAUAGCUCGUUCUCUCCGAAAUGCAUUUAGGUGCAGCGUUAUGUUAAAGUGUGCUGGAGGUAGAGCACUGAUUGGGCUAGGGCCCUUCACCGGGUACCAAACCCUGACAAACUCCAAAUGCCAGUACACGUUUCAUGACAGUGAGGGCAUGGGGGAUAAGCUCCAUGUCCGAGAGGGAAACAACCCAGAUCGACAGCUAAGGCCCCUAAGUUCAGACUAAGUUGGACGAAGGAGGUCGGACUGCUUAGACAACCAGGAUGUUGGCUUAGAAGCAGCCAUUCAUUAAAAGAGUGCGUAAUAGCUCACUGGUCGAGCGGUCUGGCGCCGAAGAUUCCCGGGCAUCAAGUCUGACGCCGAAGCUUCGAAAUCGUCCUUUGGGCGAUUGGUAGGAGAGCAUUCUAGUUGCACAGAAGCUGUGUUGUGAGGCACAGUGGAGCGGCUGGAAAAGAAAAUGUAGGCAUGAGUAACGAUAAAACACGUGGGAAACGUGUUCGCCGCAAGCCUAAGAGUUCCUGUUCAACGCUAAUCGGAACAGGGUUAGUCGGGACCUAAGCUGAGGCCGAAGGGCGUAGGCGAUGGAAAACGGGUCAAUAUUCCCGUACCUCCCAACAGCGUUAACGUCCGAUGUGACGUGGUAGCGUAAGGGCCGCGUGCUGACGAAAGCACGUUGAAGCAAGUAGGCCGGAGCGGUAGGCAAAUCCGCUGCUCCAUUCCAAAGGCUGAACCGCGAUAGUAGAGGGAGCCGACAGGCAAACUCAUAGAGCCCCCAAGCAUGCCACCAAGAAAACCGUCAUGCGUCGCUGAAGGAGCCCGUAUCAUAAACCGACACAGGUAGGCGAGGAGAGUAUCCUCAGGCGCUCGAGUGAAUCGUGGUCAAGGAAUUCAGCAAUCUAGCCCCGUAACUUCGGAAGAAGGGGCGCCCUUUUCCGUCCAAAAGUGGAAAAGGGUCGCAGUGAACAGGCUCAGACGACUGUUUAACAAAACACAGACCUCUGCUAAGUCGCAAGACGACGUAUAGGGGUUGACACCUGCCCGGUGCUGGAAGGUCAAUGGAGCGUGUUAAUGCCCUUUGGGCAUGAAGCUCGCAACUGAAGCCCCAGUAAACGGCGGCCGUAACUAUAACGGUCCUAAGGUAGCGAAAUUCCUUGUCGGGUAAGUUCCGACCUGCACGAAUGGUGCAACGAUCUGAGCACUGUCUCGACCGCGAGCUCGGUGAAAUUGUGGUAUCGGUGAAGACGCCGAUUACCCUCAGUGGGACGGAAAGACCCUGUGCACCUUUACUACACCUUGGCACUGACAUUAGUCAGGACAUGUGCAGGAUAGGCGGGAGGCAUGGAAGC